GGAAAAGCCACCAAAUCUAGGGUAACGUACAAGAACCUCAUCGAGAAAAUCAGACACCAGAAUAUGUCGACAGACAGCAUCCAGCGGCAGACCUUGGGGUAGGAGGUGCCGAACAGUGAGGCACGCUAGACAGUAGUGCUCGGUGGUGUUAGCAAGCGGUGCUUGCCAGCCCACCAACACCCACCCUCAACAACCAGCAAUACAGCAACAACUGCCAGCAAAGUGCUCGAGACAGCCCCGAGACAGUCGAGACAAUAACGAACACUAAGCAGAGGGAGGAUAGGAGCGUCCGCACUCAACCAGGAUUGUAGUGGGACUCUACAAGUGGGCUGAUCAGCGGCGUUGUCACCAAGCUGCGCCUUCCACACGACGCACCACAUCGAAUACAUUCACCCAAGAGGAAAAGAUGUUAGAAAAAAUAUUGGCAACACUGGUAACAGGAGGAGGGAGAGGCUAACGUGUGUAUGUGUGUGUUUUCUGGGCCAUUAAAUGUUAUCUGAUAACUCUAGUGGCUGCUAAAGAAGGCUUACUGAAGGAAUGGGUGUCGUGACGAAGUAAUGAUACUGGCGGGUUUGCGUCGCCGUGUGUCGCCGUGAGUGAGUAGCAUGUGGCGGGACCAGCAAGGAGCGGCUGGCAGGUGUCCAACGAGCGAUAAAGUAAGUUGUUUGUCUUCCGUAUCAGCAGUUGCGAAUCACUACUGCUGCACUUUGUUGUUGACCAGCGCUAAAAGUCGAGAGUGAAGGGCGGAAAAAAGUGUCGAGUUACCACUUACUGGAGCAUGAAUACCAAGGCAGAGUGGUGGUUCACUGAUUCCAGGAGUGCACGACGUAACAAUGCUGCAUCACACGUUACACUUGGAGGUUAUCGUUCACCAUUUUUUUACUUGGGACGGAAGGAAAAUGUGUGAGGAUGUGUCUGGAAAGUUGUGGAUGAGGGUGAUAAGUGAAAAUAGGAGAACGUGUUUUAUAGUUUGAUGACUUCUUGCAGCUUCUCUUGUUGUCUUACGUUACGAGCAAGUACUAAAAGGAAGAAAAAAAUGUAUGUAUAUCAAUAAUGCAACGUGUUUUGUUUGUGUCUG